AUAUUUCUAUCUUUUUUCAUUAGCGACCUACUUCAACUCCUACAUGCUAUAUUUCUUACACUUCUACAAUAUUUGAUGAGCUGUAUGAAAUUGUAUCACCGCUACACAGAGUACUCUGGCAAUUUCCCAGGAGCAUUUUGCACUUCGGCUUCAGCGCAGGAAGUGUUUCAAAACAUUUCUGUGUUAAUGCAGACUACAGCUUUAGAAUUUCUCCAGCCCAAAUGCUAACUGAGUCUGAUUCUCCUCAGCUUUUUCAGAUCAACCAGAACAGGUGUGGGGUUAUAACAUCAACCACUCUCCUAUACAGGAUCCCUCAUGGUAUCCUUGCAGAUGUCUCUGGAUCGCAAUGUCACUACAUGCCUCACCUGCCUCACGAAAGAGUUGUACAUAGCAGAGAAACCAGCAAGACUCUUGACUGGAUUGACCUAGCAAGAUCUAUCAUGGCCAAGUGAGAAGGACAUGCAUAAGGAGAUAUGGAGAAGUUCAAAAACUGGUGCUCAAUAACAUCUGCCCCCGAAUAAGGAGAAAAGGAAGAAACUGGGAAUAGUCCUCAUGGUAGGAAGAAGACAAAUUGCUACUCAGUUCAACAUGGGCUGUUUGCAAGUAAGAUACAUCUCUGAAUCCAUCCCAACUUCUUCAGUGAAGGCAAUGUAUUAGGAGUUCUAUCAUUGUUGAAGCAAUCAGGAAUCUGGCAAAUUCAGUCCUCUUGCUAUCGCUUCCAGACACCAGAACAAGACUUCCAUAGCUCAGCUUGCUCAUAUUUUCAUCCUGGAUCAAAUCUUUCAGAAGAUUUUCUUAGCUGUUGUUGGUUACUACGCAUGAUUAAUUUACAACAAAGUUAGAGGCUGUGAAUUAUUUACAAUUAAUUAAUGAACAAAUCCAUUGAGAAACCACUGAUGACAGCAAAAUGAAAUACAACAUUUAAGCAAGUUUGGUUAGAAUAUUUUCGAGAUUUUUUUAAAAAAAACUGAAAGCACUAAAGCCAAAUGGUGGAACUAUUUUCUCCAUCAGUUAGCCCUCAACCACAUUUAAAAGUACUUCCUGGUACUUUUUUUUUGGGGGGGGGUGUCACUUUUAGAUGGAACAACAGGAAAAUUUAAAGAGCUUUCUGGAAAUCCUGCAUCUGAUUAAUAACCAGCUCCUUUCAAAUAAAGAAAUACAUUAAGGGUAAGAGAGAAGCCUGAAAUAAAAUAUUUCAACUCAACUA